UACGAAGGGGGCUAGCGUUGUUCGGAAUUACUGGGCGUAAAGCGCGCGCAGGCGGCUAUCCAAGUCAGUGGUGAAAGCCCGGAGUUCAACUCCGGAACUGCCAUUGAAACUGUUUAGCUUGAGGAUGAGAGAGGUGAGUGGAAUUCCCAGUGUAGAGGUGAAAUUCGUAGAUAUUGGGAAGAACACCGGUGGCGAAGGCGGCUCACUGGCUCAUUACUGACGCUCAGGCGCGAUAGCGUGGGGAUCAAACAGG
rnacentral:rRNA from 1 species